CAGCCGCCGCGGGAAUACGAAGGGUGCAAGCGUUAAUCGGAAUUACUGGGCGUAAAGCGUACGCAGGCGGUUUGUUAAGUCAGAUGUGAAAUCCCCGGGCUUAACCCGGGAACUGCAUUUGAAACUGGCAGGCUAGAGUCUCGUAGAGGGGGGUAGAAUUCCAGGUGUAGCGGUGAAGUGCGUAGAGAUCUGGAGGAAUACCGGUGGCGAAGGCGGCCCCCUGGACGAAGACUGACGCUCAGGUACGAAAGCGUGGGGAGCAAACAGGAUUAGAUACCCGUGUAGUCCCUGUCUCUUAUAC
rnacentral:rRNA from 1 species